UGGGGAAUAUUAGGCAAUGGGGGAAACCCUGACCUAGCCAUGCCGCGUGCGUGAAGAAGGUCUUAGGAUUGUAAAGCGCUUUCAGCGGGGGAAGAUGAUGACGGUACCCGCAGAAGAAGCCCCGGCUAACUCCGUGCCAGCAGCCGCGGUAAUACGGAGGGGGCUAGCGUUGUUCGGAAUUACUGGGCGUAAAGGGCGUGUAGGCGGCCAAUUAAGUCAGAGGUGAAAUCCCCGAGCUCAACUUGGGAACUGCCUUUGAUACUGGUUGGCUAGAGUUCGGGAGAGGGUAGUGGAAUUCCCAGUGUAGAGGUGAAAUUCGUAGAUAUUGGGAAGAACACCAGUGGCGAAGGCGGCUACCUGGACCGAUACUGACGCUGAGGCGCG
rnacentral:rRNA from 1 species